GCCAGCUUAGCUCAGUGGUUAGAGCACUGGUCUUGUAAACCAGGGGUCGCUAGUUCAAUUCUGGCAGUUGGCA